AAUUUUAGGCCUGGUUGGACGGUCUGCUCUAGGGUUUGUACUGUCCUGACUGGGUCUUACCUUCUGGUGAGCUGUCGUAUUGUUUACUCAGUGCGGCAGGGAACCAGGACUUUUACUUUGAAAAAAUUAGAGUGUUUAAAGCAGGCAUUCGCUUGAAUACAUUAGCAUGGAAUAAUAGAAUAGGACUUUGGUUCUAUUUUGUUGGUUUCUAGGACCGAAGUAAUGAUUAAUAGGGAUAGUUGGGGGCAUUAGUAUUUAAUUGUCAGAGGUGAAAUUCUUGGAUUUAUUAAAGACUAACUUCUGCGAAAGCAUUUGCCAAGGAUGUUUUCAUUAAUCAAGAACGAAAGUUAGGGGAUCGAAGACGAUCAGAUACCGUCGUAGUCUUAACCAUAAACUAUGCCGACUAGGGAUCAGGCAAGGAUAUUUUGACUUGUUUGGCACCUUAUUAGAAAUCAAAGUCUUUGGGUUCUGGGGGGAGUAUGGUCGCAAGGCUGAAACUUAAAGG
rnacentral:rRNA from 1 species